CUACCUCGACUGCCAGCCGCUUCUCAUUGGCUGCUGCCUCAGCACGCUCGCUGUGACGCGCGACGUUCGGGAUUUCACAGAACGAGCUAACGCCGCACGGAGACAGCGAGUUAAAGACGUGUUAGCGUUUCAAUUUUAGUCACAUUUUGUCUCGCUACAGUCACAAACCUCAGCGUGUUUUAGGACUAUUUGAUUCGAAAGGAUCGCAAAGUAGUUGUGUGUGUGGAUUAUGAGCUGAAAUAAAAACGUUCUGCACCGUAACAGAGGAUCCAGCAGUGAGCGACAGAGGAAGGGCGGCUUCAGUGCUGAGGGAGAAAGGCACCAGAAGAGCUAAUCACAGGGCAAGCCGGCGGGGCCCCGGGAGUGCACCGGGAAGAGCCCCCCCAGGGUGAUGUCGCCCUCGAUUUUGAGGCUGGACUGGGGCUGGGUGCCCAGCGAGAGGCGGCUGGAGCCCACCAGCAGGAGCCAAACCGCACGAAGCCAUGGAGGGGACGCAAGCAGCGAAGUGGAACGGCAGAGGAGACGGUAUGGACAGGCCUCUGGCGUCAUGACGAUGUCCAGCAGAGGUACUGGCAGCACCGGGCCACUCCGUCUACCUGAGGGGCCCCGGGGGCAGAAAACAGGAGCAGUCAGGGUGAAAACGUGAUAUCAUACAGAAAAACCUGUCUGAUAUUCUGUUGCAUGACGUUUUUAAUGUUUUCUGAAGAAGUCGUCGUUGAAAGUGAGAAUUUGUUCUCAAUCUACUUACCUGGUUAAAUAAAGCUUAAAUUUAUGUUUUUAAAA